UGCAGGUGUUUAACAUUGAAGAUGGAACGUCCAAACAUAAAGGAAAUGACUAAAUCGCAUGCAGGUAACCCCAAUGGCUGACUGAAGAGUGACUGGAUGAGGUCAUUUAACAUCAUGGCAUCAAUCUGCUCAUGAUCUUCGGUCUGGUGUCCUUCGGCUACAUGAGCUCAGACCUUCCUGGUUCGAAGGUCCAGUAGGGGAGCAGUCCACAGAUGGUGCAUGGGAAGUCCGACUGGGUCCAUGGCUGCAGAGCAUCAAUGACUUGGCAACAUUACAACUGUUCACUUACUGACUUAACUCUGCAGCAUGAUUUUUUUUUUUUUUUUCAAGGCAUAUGUUUACUUUAACUCUUCCAUGUAUUUCUGCUGCAAGAUAAAAGCAAAAUCUAAGUGAACCUUUAUGGGAAAACUGUUUUUGAAUAUAAAUAAAAAAUACACAAAUAC